rnacentral:rRNA from 1 species
AUGACCCCCUCGCGCCUCCUGGAGGCUGCGUGGAGGACGCGGUGCGAGGAAGGUCCACAGAAGAUCCAGCACCAGGAGCAGCCGCCAGCUCGCUGGGCGAGGUCAUGCAGAUCGGAUCUUCUGUGGCCGGUUCACGUGACGCUGAAGAAGAGGGAGCCGCAGAGGAUCCCGAUCCUGCAUGGGGCUCAUGAUCCGCCAAUGAUUGGAGCAGCGGGCCAGGAGCUGCCGCAGAAUCCACAUGGGAGUCAGCGCCCGAGUCUGGCGGCGAUGAGCGCCGUGCAUAGCAGCGCGUGUCGGGGCCGAACCGACCAGGUGCGGGGCCAGGCGCGGGGCGAGACGCGUGACCAGGCGCUGGGCCAGGCACGGGCGGCUGGAGAAGGGGCCGCGUGGCGCUGGCGGGUUGGCGCGGAGCGGACGCCGAGCCACGGUUGGCGUGUGGCACGACGAGACUCGAGGCGGAUCCGCCUGGCGCUGCUGGCGCGGAUCCCGCUGGAGUCAGGAUGGCAGGCUGGCGCAGCGGGAACCACCCGCGGGGCCAUUCCCGAUGCCCUUGUUGGCGCAGGGGGCGGCAGCGAGGGCGGCGCCGACGAGGUCGUGGUCGUCGGCGGCGGUGGCGGAGGAGGCUGCGACGAGGUGGUAGUCGUCGGGCGCGGAGACGAGGAAGAUAGGGUUGUUGUGGUCGGAGAAGAGCUGGGGCAGGAGAAGCGUUGCGGCAAGGGAACCAGAGAAGGAGAGCGCCGGAAGGAGGAGGAGGAGGAGGAGACGGUGGAGAAGGCCAUCUUGCUGGAAGAUUUCGCGUAG